rnacentral:tRNA from 1 species
UUUGAUAGCUCAGCCGGUAGAGCACUCAGGGUCGUGGGUUCGAAUCCCACGUCGGGCAAAA